CUAGUACUUCCUUCGUCCGAAAAAACUUGUCUCAAGCUUGUUCCUCAAAUGGAUAUAUCACACAUUAUCUUUGUUCUAGAUACAUUUAUUUGAGGGACAAGUUUUUUCGGACGGAGGGAGUACUGA
rfam:Triticum urartu cultivar G1812 contig683100, whole genome shotgun sequence.